rnacentral:tRNA from 1 species
GGGAGUUUAGCUCAGUUGGUAGUAGCGCGUGCUUUGCAAGCACGAGGCCUUGAGUUCAAGUCUCAAAACUUCCA